UCGCGGAAAUUCGACUGUUGUCCAGAUCUGUGAAUAUCCGGCCAGACAGACCAGCUACCGGAAAAGUCUCCGAAUUGGAUCGAGGUUUUGGCUACCCCACCAUUGUCAUGCAUCCCGAGCGCGUUCCCGAAGUCGGAAUCGGCAAAGGUGAGCCGGGACAACCUUCUUCCUCCGCCCAGCCGCCACAGUGAUUGUCGUCAAGUCUGCUACAGGAGGAUUUUAUUGUGGUUAACCUGCUUUUCUCCUUCGCAGGUUGUUUAUCAAUAUUUGUGUAAUUUUAUUUACUCCUAGAAUUUCCGCAUGUGUUAGAAAUAUUUAAAUGGUUCGGG